UUUAAACUAAACUUAGGCUUUAUUUAACAUAACGUAACUACGACCUUAAACAAAUAGAAUAUUAGAUAUAGAUUAAAAUAACAACGGAAAUGAUAUCACUAAACUCAGUAAGCUAAUUCAAACAGUAACACUGCAACUGAAAGACGGGAGUUAACACAAAUGGUGAAACGUGGCGAACAAAAGAAGGAACACACGAAAGUAAUUAUUAGCGGCGCGCGCCGCACACAGUGUUGCCGUUUGUGGAAUGCUUCACAGUCUCCAUUGUAAAAGAUAGGCGCAUAGUGAUUUUAGGACGAUUUUGCUGUUUUUUUUAAACUACACAAACUAUUCAAGUUUAUCUUUCCUGCCCAUUAAGGCUGUCAAUAAAAAAUACCCCAAUGGAAUUUUCCAGUUAAAAUUAAGGCAAACUGCCAUAAAAACUAAAACAUUUUUUGCAGGUGGGGUGGAGUCUGUAGUUUCUAGCCCAUUUCCCAGAUCAAUAUACCCUUGCACUUUCUUCCCAUCCCAGACAGUAUGCUUUUUAAUAGCCAUUUCAUCGAUCAUGAGCGAACAAAUUAUCUUUUGAGAUGAGGAAACAGAAUCGCAUUUUAACUUAAUUGCAGUAAAAGCGGGGGUUGUAAAACCAGGGUCAGCAUUAACAUUGCCAUACCAUCGGCGAAUAGUGGCAUGAUGUGGUGAUGUACCAGGGAAAGUCUUCCUAACAUAUUCAUAUGCCUUCCAGGAAUAGAACUGUAAAGUCAGUGCAAAAGUUGUCAAUUGUGGUGGAAAUCUGUGGCCUUUUCCAGUUGACUGUUGUGAUUGAAAACAAGUAAAAAACUCGUUAGGUACAUCUGCAACAGUUUUCUGCAAUACUUCUGCACAGUUUGUGGAAAUUAAUUGUUUCUUGGACAACUCAUUAAUAGUUUCUGUUAAAGUUAAACGUUUAGCCAUUAAACGGGUGUUAUGUUGCCUCAGCUUCCUAACCCGGUCUUUCAUUCUUUCCAAAGCAGCUAAAUUAUUGUGGAACUUCUUUUUGUAUUCAGACAUAGAUGACACACCAUAGGAGUGGUCAAGAAGGUGGCAGGAGUUUUUUGCAGGUGGAGGUUUGCGAUCAUCAGAUGAGAACCAACUACCCGCUCCGUUGAUCUCACUUUAGGCAUUUUUCGACCUGUUUGGCAUUUCUAAUCACAUGUAUGACUGUGACUCUUCGUCAUCACUGCCUGAACUAUUUGAUCUGGGUUGGCUUUUAGAAAACUUUCUCUUAUUGCAGCCAAAAGCAAUACACUGUUGACCUCUUUGGGGUCUAUUCUCGGACAUAGCCUAGAAAUACUUGAUAAUACUCAAAUAUGAAUUCAAAAGCUAUUGAAUGUCAGAUUAUUAAAAAUUUGGCGCUAGUAAAGAAUCCUCCCCCUGCGUUAUCUGCUAACCGUUAAACAUACAAACAACCAAUAACCCGUAUAGGCAAUAAACUCUAACUGACCACUAACCUCUGCCUCCUUACUACCAACCUCCAACAUUUUCCACUUAUUUAAUCUAACACGUUACGUUUUGGAGGAUUCUACAUUUGUACCCAUAUAAUAUACACAAUUCUGACAGUGUUGGGCAAUUAAAAAAGUAUUUAACACAACUUUAUUAAACAAACGCAAAGCUUGUUAUAUAUAUAUAUAUAUGUGAAAAAAACAUUUUUGUACGUAUACCUGUGAUUUAAGUCAGAAAAUGAAAGAAAAACUACAUACGCGCCAUAGAUUCCAUUGCCUGCAAUAGUAAAACGGGAACGACCUGCGGUCACGUGACCCUUAAAACCCAGUAUAUCAGCUCUCUCCUUUCGCGACAUUGGAGAUGCGCGUUCUAUUCUUUUUUAUUUUUGUGGUCUGACCUUGUUGGUCAUUCAUUCUAAACAUGUGCUUGUGUUGUGAGAUGCUCUUAAUAAACUUAACUACUGACUUAACACAUAACAGGUAAACAAUACAAUAUGUAUACCUCAUUGAGUUGAGGACUUGAGGUAAAGCCAAAGUAAUGUAUGUCACAUUUUUCAAAAGUGUCUUUUUUACAAAAUUUUAUGCUGUUGGACAUAACACAUAAGACACACUUUGGCACUGUUUAAG